rnacentral:rRNA from 1 species
AUUAAAAUUAUUUUAGUACGAAAGGAUUAAAUAAUUAAAUUAAAUUUUUAUUAUUGAAUUAAAUUAAAUAA